UAGAGCAUCCCACGUGCUUCUGUUCUAAAGGCAAUUUGGAAUUUCCUUUGUUUAAGAAAUUAUUCAUUUAGUUCCUUGAGCUGUUUGUUAAAGGAUGAUUAAGUAUAAAUUAUAAAAUAAAUAUUCCAUAUCACUUGCAAAUUUUACCCGCUUUGAAUAUGGUCACAAAUAUGAGAAGACGCUAAAGAGAAGCGGGAGUUCCAACACUUUUCCAGCAAACAAAUAAUUUGACUGUAAUGGGAAUUAUUGAUGUGAAGGAAAAUAAAACUGAUUAUCAAAUUCCUAAGGCUUAACAACAAUUUGAGAAAAAGACAUUCUAUUCCUAAGGAUCUGAAAUGAAAAUGUCUUUGAUAGAGUCUUCCUUUAGUAUCCCUAGGUUGAUCCAGACUAUUUCUAAGGCCCAGUUCACCUGUCAGCUCUAAUGAUACUGGAAGAUAGUAGUGCUUUAUAAAAGCAACUGAGAUGUUUCACUGCACUGAGAAGAAAGAAUUCAAACAUGCAAUGCUAGGAAAGAAGGUAAUCUGAAACAACAUUUUUAGCUGUAUGUGCCUUUGUAUCCUAGUCUGGGGAUGGACAGGAAACCUCUUCCUGCUGCUAAUAAUGCAAACUGCUUCUGAUUUAUAGCUUCAAAUACUUUAGCCAAACAAAUAUUCUAUGGGAUCACAUCUGCAUGCCUAGCACAGUAUUAAGGCUCAUCCUCCAUUUAAACAUUGCCACACUGCCUUCCAUCAAAAUGUUAAAAUCAAGGAUAGUUCAGUGGCAGGAAGAGGAAACACAUUCAAGACAACUUGGGUAGAGGGAACUUCUGGAAGGAGAUGAGGAAACUUUGUGGUAAGACCCAACGAACUACUGGAAAUGACAGUAUUCUACUAUUCAUAUCAUUCUACAUUUGAAGACACUAUGCCCUCCCCCCUCCCGCCAAGUCCAAGUGCUCUGGGUUUGUGAAGUUUCAUCAUGGAAAAAGUAAAGGACAACUGGAACAAAUAAAAGAAGUUCUUCCAAUAUCUCUUCGUGUGUAAUGUGUGACCAGUUUCAGCUUCUGACCACUCACCAUCAUGUAAAUUGAUCACAGCCACAGAAGAGAGCAAAAGGCGUGAGAGGGAACAUCCAUUGCAGAUCAGAGAUUAAAUCAAAAGCACCACUUUUAGUAAGAAGGAAGAUGAUGACGAUGGAUGGCUACGUUUUGGGAUGUCUUUAUGAUGUACUUGGACUGCACUAUGCUCUUUCCAUGGAUUAUCUCAAUUAAGCUAAUCUACAAGACUAUGAAGUCAUUUCUCUUACUAUCCUUCCUCUUUACACAUGAAGGAACGGAGACCCAGAAAGUUUAAGUGACUUGUGCAAGGUUACUCCACUGAUAAACAGUGGAGGUGUGUUUGAAAUUCUCUUAGAGAUAAUCCAACACAGGGCUCAGCAAACUUUUUCUGUAAAGGACCAGACCAUAAAAAUUUCAGGCUUUGUGUUGCAACUACUCAACCCUGCUCUUGCAUCACCAAAGGAGCCAGAGAUAUUGCCUACACCAAUGGGCCAUCUUGCAAUAUGUACAGGAAAGAUGUGGUCUGCUGUUUGCUGACCUCUAAUCCUGUCCGUUUCACUCAUUUUGUAUGUGAGAAAACUAAAGCCCAGAAAGGUGAGAGUAUUUCUACUGCUGUUCUGUAUUAGAAAGAAGAUGAAACAUCUCUGGGUCUCAGUCCUGUAAUCUUUUAAUUACAUGAAAUUCAAGAGAUUUCACCAGUUAGUAUGGUAACAGAUUUUAAUAUCUCAUAUUAAAACAAAGGUAAAAUUCACCUGAAACUAUGAUAGUCGCUUACAGAUAGUUAUGUUCAAUAGAAGCCGAUUUUGAACUGAGACUUUUCUGCUUACCUGGUUUGUAUUGAUGCCGUAGUACACAGAGCUCCAAGACCAAGCAGAAAAAUCCCAAACACAUCUCAUUAAGUCAAAUCAAGAAUUAGGGGAGGCGGGUACUCAAAUUGCUACAGACAAGGUGAUGAAGCCAGCUGAAUAGUCCUACCAACACGUAUGCAAAAAUUCAAUUGUGAAGAAAGCAAGACAUGGGCCCUUACUCCGUUCCUUACCCCUGCAGCUGCUGUCUAGAUUUUUCUCCAAGGCUUUGUGUAAACCUGUUAAUACAUUCCUAAUUGAAAACAGCAUAUUUCUCUCCCACUAUCUCAAUUCAUGGCCUCUGAAAUUUCACUUGAAAUGAAAUUCAUCACAAAAUCGAGUAAUGGUUGUUGCAGGUUCUGAUUCCUUGGAACAUUCUUUAUAAAAUUUAACUCAAAAUUUAUUUAAUAAUAAAGCUGCUCCCCAAAAUAUUGUGAUAUAUAAAAGAGGCAGCAAAGAUUUGAUCUUCGAUGAAAUGAGACCUUGAACAAUAAUAACUAAUAAGACAGACAUAAACGCUAACAUUUAUUAUUUACUCUACAUCAGACUCUGUCCAAAGGAUUUUAUAUUUAGUCCUCCAAACCACAGAUAAGGACAUAGGUGCUCAGAGAGGUGAAGUAUCUUACCCAGAGCUGUACGAAUUCUAAGAGUCAGGGCUGAAAUCCAGGCAGCUGACCUGCGAGGCUGGGUGAUUAACCCUCCUCCAGAGCCUAGAGCCCCAAGUCAUGUUGCCAGGAUUCAUGCCCUGCGCACCCUUCCCCUGCUAGUGGGCUGGCUUUGGACUGGCCAAAUUAUCUGAGCCUCAGUAUCCUUCCCUGUGAGACAAGCAUAAAUAUGGUACCUCCCAUCUAGUAUUUGUGUGUAUAUCCAUCCUGAGUGCUUAGCAUCACAUCAACUUAAAAUUUCAAUUUAUUGAUAUGAUGAAAAAAAUUUCAAUAUAUGAAUAAACAUUUCCCCAAACAAACCCUGAGGGUCAAGGAGACCCAGAUUUAAAUUCUAGUUUCACAACUGACCAGCUAUGUCAUCUCAAAUUAGGAAGUUAAACUUUCUCACCCUCAGUUUCUUCUUCUCUAAAAUGCAGAUAAAAGUAAUGAUUUCGCAGAGUUCACAUGAAGAUACGAAGAGGUGAUGGCUUCAGGGUCCCUGUCACAAGGCCAAGGAAGGUGCUAGGAAAAUGUCAGUCAUUCCCUGCCUUGUUCCAGCCCCACCUGCUCCUUUUGGGUUGUGAGAAUCCCACAAACCUGCAAAGCCCUGCUCUACCCAACCUCAGUCACUGUCCUGGGAUGGACCGUGAAGCAGCUGAUGGGCUUCUCACCUCUCAGUGAACAGAGUCUAAGGGGGGAACAAGGAUGUUACAGUCAUUACAGAAAAAUUAAUACAGGAGGACAAGGAAGCUCCUGACCCAGAUAUGGAACCCAGGGCAUAUCUCAGAAAUGCUCUAAGAAUCUGUAAGGAUUAGUAAGGCAAGAAAUUGUUUUUUUAAUCCCCCAGGCAGAAGGAAAGUCUAAGUAAAAGUUCUGAGGUAUACAAACUAGAACUUUUGAUAAACUGAGAUCAAUUUUCAGUAUGGCUGGAGCAUCAAAUUCUAGAGAAAGAGUCCAAGAGAUGAGGCUGCAGAAGUAGAGCUGGAAAAAAAUUACUGAUUCCUGGGAUGGAUUUUCAAUGGAGUGGGACAGGCUGAUGGCAGACUGGCAUUUUGGAAAGAUCAUUCCAGAUGUCCCUUCUUGGGUCCUCUUCCAUCCUACAAUAUUCUCUCCUCGCUCAGAAUCACCUCGUCUCUGAUCAUUUGUAUCAUUCACUGAAUAUGUAAUCACAUGUCAUUUAUCAUUUUAAUAUAAAUAUUCCUUGUAUAUUUCUGUGUUUUAUUUCUUUAUCUCUUUCGCAGUGCUCGGCAGACGGCAGGUGCUCAAAACUGUUGACCUCUCUGGUCGCUCCCUGAUGCCAGUGCUCUAUCUUAUAUUUCUUUUAUAUCUUCCGCUGUAUCUAGCAGAGUUGUACAUAGUUGAGUAAGAAAUCAUUUUAAAAUCAACUGGGGAUGGGCAGCCUGGGUGGCUCAGCGGUUUA